rnacentral:rRNA from 1 species
CCUGCGGAAGGAUCAUUAUUGAAUGAACUUGGCGUGGUUGUUGCUGGCCCUCUCGGGGGCAUGUGCACACCCGCCAUCUCCAUCUCUCCACCUGUGCACCUCUUGUAGACUGGAAUAGACUUUCCGAGGCAACUCGGUCGGGAGGAAUGCUGUCGCUUUGCGUCGGCUUUCUUUGCACUUCCAAGCCUAUGUUUUUCAUAUACCCGUAGUAUGUAACAGAAUGUAUCAUUUGGGCCUCAGUGCCUAUAAACCAUAUACAACUUUCAGCAACGGAUCUCUUGGCUCUCGCAUCGAUGAAGAACGCAGCGAAAUGCGAUAAGUAAUGUGAAUUGCAGAAUUCAGUGAAUCAUCGAAUCUUUGAACGCACCUUGCGCUCCUUGGUAUUCCGAGGAGCAUGCCUGUUUGAGUGUCAUUUAAUUCUCAACCUUAUUAGCUUUUGCUGAUAAUGGCUUGGAUGUGGGGGUUCUCUUUUGCUGGCUUCUUUUCACAGAGGUCAGCUCCCCUGAAAUGCAUUAGCUGGUGCCCCGCGUGGACUGUCUAUUUGGUGUGAUAAUUAUCAACGCCGUGGAUGUCUGCAAUUGGUUUUGGCACUGCUUCUAACUGUCUGUUCAUUUGGACAACACAUGACAAUUUGACCUCAA